GAAGCUCUCAACCCUAUCAUGGCCAUCGUUCAUUUCCAGACAUUCCCAUUCUUUCUUAACGUAGAGGGCUGCACCACUGCCUUUCCUGCCUUGCCUCUCUCUUUUGAAAAGUCGCUAGCCAUCCAUCACAGCACUCCAGCUGUGUGAGUCAUUCCACCACGUUUCUGUGAUUUUUCUCCUGUUUUUGGAUUCCAAGAAAAGCCAGGUAGGAUUAUUUUUAUUGUUAUUCUUUUUUUAAUGGCAGGCAUUGUGUUCAACUUAAAAAAGGAACGCAUGAAGAAUAGCUUUGUUUGCAUUCUGGUAAGUGCUGAGGCUUUGGCUGAUGACAGCUUUCAGCUGCAGCUGAACUAGGCUGGAUUUGUCUCCUGCUCUCCAUAGGUGAGUGUUUCUCUUCCAGAUCUUUGAAUCAGCUUUCUACACGGCUUAAGUGAUGGAACAGGAAAGACUCCAAUAUGGUAACAACGUGAUUUCUAGUGUUUUGGAAAGAUUGUUUCACGUGUAAUGAAAAGCUAGUGUCCAGAUGAUCACUGCGGCCAGAUGGCAAUUUUGAUGCCCUCGUCACUAAGACUUGUCCAAGCCCUGAUGUAUGUGAAGCUCAUCAGGAGGGAAUGCUCGCAAGAAUCAGCUAACACAAUAGCAGCAAGCUUUCAGUGACAGCGUUCAGGAAGGGUGACGAUUCAGGCUGGGAGCAGGUAUGUCAUCACCUGACUUGACCACAUGUAACUUGAUGCUAGAAGUACACCACGUCCUCCCUCCCUGCAUGGCAAGAGAUUGCUCUCUUCUCCUGCAAAGGCAGCCAAAGUAACUUCUGUGUGCUGACUAGAGAGAGAAAACUUGGUGUCACUCCUCGCAAGUCCUGUGGCAGCCAGAUACUGUGUUAGCCACUCACAGGUAGCAUGUCUUUGGUAUCAGGGUGUAAGAGAAUGAACUCUGUAGGAGCGCUGCUGUCAUAGGCCACCAAGGGCCCGGGAUGCCUGGCUGAAAUUUGAUGUUGCAGAUACCUUGGUGUCACUGGAAUCCAUGGAGUUGACACAGUCCUCUGAUGGCUGGAUUUCGGCUUUCUAAGGGUGUAUGGGAACUGUAUAAUCACAGCCUGACCCUCUGUUUGACCACCUGAGGCGAGUGCUGAGUCAGCUGCAGGGGCACAGGUGAUGGCAGUUUCACCUGAGUGACCGGAAGGGGUGGACCCUGGCUGCAGCCCUGCUAGACCCCAUGUAAGGGCUGACUCCCAAGGAGGAAGGCUCUCUCUCUGGAGGUCACCCUUAGUGGAGCUGUUCUGCGCGCCCAGGGUACGGGUAAGCUUUGUAUUUCAUUCCUCCUUUGGAAAGGCAAUUCUCUCUCUGCUCCUUUACCUAUUUGCCUUACAAUCUGUUUGCCAUACACACAGGUAAUGUUUAACCCCACUAAUGGGUAGCCCUUAAGCCUUUUCUGUAAAUGCAACAGGGAUAGGGUUAGCCCUCAUCAAGUAAGGGCCACCCUCAGUCCUAAAACCAAAGGGUAGCCCUUAACCAUAACCGAAGUGCGAAUCCUUCGCUCUAAUCCAAUGUGGUAACCGUUGACCUGUCACUGAAGGGAAGCCCUUCAUCCUAACCUACUAUGGUAACUCUUCAUCCUAAACGCUAGCCUCUAACAGUAACCUUUAAGCCAAUCCCUAGGGGUUUUCCUUAAGCCUUUGCCCUGACUGAACUUGGUAGCAUUUCCACGUGAAGCCUUAUCUAAUGCAGUAACCCGACCAUCUGAUGCCAAAGGGUAACGGUCCGCAGUUAGUAGUAAGACUAAAUAGUAGCACUUAACCGUAAUCCAGCAGGGGAUGAGGCCGAGCUUGUCUUCUGCCAGGGCUGCUCUCAGCCCCAGGGCACGGCGAGCGGCUGCGGGCAGUGCAUCUCCCAGCUGAGGUGCCUGUCAACAUCUGCCCGCUGUCCUUGUGGAGGGCCCGUCAUCGUCAUGGAAACUGAUUGUAACAGCACAAAGGUUCCAGGAGCGUGGGUGAUGUCAGCUGUGACAUCCUCUGGGGGGCCUGGAGCCGCCCUUUUUUGGCCUUGCAGCCCAUCAAGCCAAAGCCUGCUGUCCUGCACGUGGUCCCACCGGGCAGAAACUC